ACUUACAACAACGGAUCUCUUGGUUCUGGCAUCGAUGAAGAACGCAGCGAAAUGCGAUAAGUAGUGUGAAUUGCAGAAUUCAGUGAAUCAUCGAAUUUUUGAACGCAUAUUGCGCCCCUUGGUAUUCCAUGGGGCAUGCCUGUUCGAGCGUCA
rnacentral:rRNA from 1 species